UACGUAGGGGGCUAGCGUUGUCCGGAUUUAUUGGGCGUAAAGAGCGUGUAGGCGGCCAGGUAGGUCUGCUGUGAAAACUCGAGGCUCAACCUCGAGACGUCGGCGGAAACCUCUGGCUAGAGUCCGGAAGAGGAGAGUGGAAUUCCUGGUGUAGCGGUGAAAUGCGCAGAUAUCAGGAAGAACACCCGUGGCGAAGGCGGCUCUCUGGGACGGUACUGACGCUGAGACGCGAAAGCGUGGGGAGCAAACAGG
rnacentral:rRNA from 1 species